GCUUGAUGAUGAUGAUGAUGAUGAUGAUGAUGAUGAUGAUGAUGAUUCUUCAUCAUCAUCAUCAUCGUCAUCAUCAUUUUUUCUA
rnacentral:pre_miRNA from 1 species